rnacentral:rRNA from 1 species
AGAGUUUGAUCCUGGCUCAGAAUCAACGCUGGCGGCGUGCCUCAGACAUGCAAGUCGAACGCGAAAGUCCCCUUCGGGGGGCAAGUAGAGUGGCGCACGGGUGAGUAACACGUAGGUAAUCUACCUUCGGAUGGGGAAUAACAAUCGGAAACGGUUGCUAAUACCGCAUAAUGCAGCGGCACCUAAUGGUGACAGUUGUUAAAGCGGGGGAUCGAAAGACCUCGCGUCUGAAGAGGAGCCUGCGGCGGAUUAGCUAGUUGGUAAGGUAAUGGCUUACCAAGGCGACGAUCCGUAACCGGCCUGAGAGGGCGGUCGGUCACACUGACACUGACAUACGGGUCAGACUCCUACGGGAGGCAGCAGUCGGGAAUUUUGGGCAAUGGGCGAAAGCCUGACCCAGCAACGCCGCGUGAAGGAUGAAAUCCCUCGGGAUGUAAACUUCGCAAGAACGGGAAGAAUAAGUAGGGGACAAUACCCCCUAUGAUGACGGUACCGUUUGUAAGCUCCGGCUAACUCCGUGCCAGCAGCCGCGGUAAUACGGAGGGUGCAAGCGUUGUUCGGAAUCACUGGGCGUAAAGGGCGCGUAGGCGGCUAUGCAAGUCAUAUGUGAAAGCCCACGGCUUAACCGUGGAAGUGCAUGUGAAACUGCAUGGCUUGAGUAUCGGAGAGGAAAGUGGAAUUCCCGGUGUAGAGGUGAAAUUCGUAGAGAUCGGGAGGAAUACCGGUGGCGAAGGCGACUUUCUGGACGAAUACUGACGCUGAGGCGCGAAAGCGUGGGGAGCAAACAGGAUUAGAUACCCUGGUAGUCCACAGCUGUAAACGAUGAACACUAUGUGCAGGGAGUGUUGACCCUUUCUGUGCCGCAGCUAACGCAUUAAGUGUUCCGCCUGGGGAGUACGGUCGCAAGGUUAAACUCAAAGGAAUUGACGG